CACAGGCUUGGAAGUUUAUCCAUAGCAAAGCAAAGCUGGUCAGCUUCACCUUAAAAAAGGCUUCCUUAAAAGCUUUGAUCCUGGAGGAUUCCUUAACUAAGAAAAAGUCAAGUCCAUAAUAACAGAUGCUAGCAAGAAGUGAAGCAGGACCAUCACUUACAGUCCACUCCAGAGCAUCCUGUUUUAAAGCCUAAAGACCAAAACCUGGCAGCAGUCUUCAAAUAGGAGAACUGUGUACCAACAACAAUUCCACCCAACUUGCAGGUGGUAUACUACUUUACUUUUAUAUCAUGAUGGAAGAAAAUUAAGCUGUGAGGAUGGAGAUGUUUCCUAACCACACUCAGCAUCUAAGUAUUGUGCUAUUGUAAAAGGCCAAUCUAAUAGAGAACAAUUGCAUAAUGUAUAUGUGUUUAUAAUGUACCUAGCAAGCUCCAGGGUUUUAGAAAUGGCAGCUGCUAUUUUCAGAGCAAGGUCCUUUGGUAAUGGAAAUAAAAUGCUGCUAAUUUGGAAUGAACCAAGUUUCUUGUUAAAAGAAAAGGUACUGGCACUGAAAUGAAUGCCUGUGAGACAAGGAGAAUAGAAACAGCCUAAGGCUUCUGGAGCCCAUCAUUUGUUAAACAAGCAUUGUGGGCAGUUUCUGGCAACCAAUA